ACGUCACACAGCCUCCUGGUAACACUUCAAACACGGCAUGGGAAACUGUUCCAGUAAACCGGAUCUACAGAGGCCUGACACUGAUAUUGACGUGACAGAGAAUGACUGGGAAAGUCUUAGCCUUGACAGGGAAGCAGAAGAUGCAGUGGUUUCAAUGCCAGGAAAGUUAAAUAGGGUGUCGUUUUAGGAAAGGUUGCCUCGUACAAGAUACAUGUUGUUCAUCUAAUAAUUGUUUUAACAUUUAAAACCUUAUUAGUAAGCGAAAGAUUGAAAUUCGCGGAUAUUACCGCGCACGGAAACUUACUUAUCUUGACUUCAUUCAACUCCAUGCAGCGUUUUCUUUGAACGGACAUUUAUUGUGAACAGUCAUUGCACCGACCAAUAUAUUUUAGGAUUUGAAUAAGCUGUUACUUUCACCUUUAUGAUUACUUCUUUUAGGCCUACUCUUUUUUGUGAGGUUAUUUCUCUAAGCGAGUUUUGUGUAUAGUAGUGUUCUUUUUUCAAGGGAGUGUAAAUCUACCGUUGCACAAGGUCCAUACUUCAAUCUACCGGUGCACAUGGUUCGUACUGCAAUCUACUGGUGCAUUUGAUUCGAACUAUAAUCUACCGGUGCACAUGGUCUACCGGCACAUAGUUCGGAAUGCAAUCUAUCGUUGCACAUGGUCUACAGUUGCACAUGGUUCGUUCCGAAAUCUACCGUAGCACAUGGUUCGUACUGCAAUCUACUGGUGCACAUGGUUCGUUUUACAAGUUCGUAAAGCUAUCAACACUGAUUUAUAUAGCGCAUCGCUAUCAGAAUACCUUUUUACUAAUUCAAAAUUGUGCGAAGUUGGCAGUGUGUUGUGUUUUGGGGGUUGUCAAAAGUGAUUUCAUUAAAUACGCUAUGUACAUCAAAUAAAAGACGUAUUUGAAAAUAGUCUGAUUUCAAAGUUAAGUUAAAGGUAUUAAGUUAUCCCGACUUAUUGUUGUUUUAAUGUUACAUGUGUGGGUCACAUCUGUUUCACUUUUUUUCUCUUUCUUAGUUGUUUAUUGUAAUGCUAUGCAGAUGGGUUUUGACAGAAGGGCACAUUGACACUUAGUACAUGUAGGAUGCUCUGAAUAAAAUUUCGGGUUUCUCAAAUUGGAGAUUGUACAGAGUGUAUCAAGCGCCUGGAAUAACGGAAGAUACUGAUGUUUUUCACUUACCUUUAUUUAUAUGAUCCGAGGUACGACAGCUAGUACGGGCAGCAGAAGCAGCACGAGUAGCACUGGACAGACGGGUGAAAAUGACAUCGUCUCAUCUAGACAAAGCAUUACCGAACAAUAUAAUGAAACCAUGGAAACGCAAAAUGAUAGCACCAACAGAAAAGUUAGAUUUCACAUUGAAACACCCGAGAAAAACGUGCUAAGGGAAAUAUUCAGUGAAGAAUCACUACUAGAAAAGAGAAGGAAGAGCUUCAGUGCCGACAUGAGAAUAUUCGCAGUUAUGUUUGAAGAGUCUAAGAUAACAAACAAAGAGGGGAAGACUUGACAAUGCAUAUUCCUUACAAGCGAAUGUCACAAUCAUGUACAUACAUACGCCUUUUGUCGACGAUUCCAAAGUUAAUACAGAACCUCUGUUUGAAUCAGACUUCACGUACAUCUGAUUGUUAACAAAACAAUAGUUAUGCUCAUUUUCUAAUAUACCGGAUAAAGGGGGCUAACUUCAGACCUCAUCAUUUUCUUGAUUUAAGUAAUUUUAAUGUGUAUAUAUUUUUCUGAGCCUCAAAAUAUUAUUCUAUAGCAUUAUUUUGUUCUUCUUCUUCUUCUCGUUCGCGACUACACUGUCAGACUCCAAUUCCAGACGCAAAUGUCACAAAAUGUCAUUUUUGACCAAAAAUGGAGUUAGCACCUUUUACCUUUGAACCUUCGAUAUACAAUAUAUCUAAAACGUUUCUUUUCAAACCGACAAUUUGCAAUAAAUAACAGACAAAAAAAAAACACGUCCAAGGUAGUCUUUGAUGGUCAACCUCUACGUGUGUAUAAGUAUAGCUUGCCACAAUCUCUGAGUGAUAUCAAUUUUGUGGAUUGUUUGCCGCUACCGAAAUGCUUGGUAAAAGUAAUUUGAAUCUUCUUUCGUUUACCCCUUGUAUCGAGCAAAUAAAGACCCUAUCGAUCUCUCUAAUCAGCCGAAAAUCAAUCUACAGUUCAACUUGCCAGACGAUUCUAUUAUUGCACUGUAUAUUUCUAAUGAGAAUACAGCAUCCCACUAUUAUAAUAUUCUUAUUGUGGUUAGCAAGGUUUAAAUAAUUUGUUAAAAUGUGAAUAUUUCCGUCCAUCAUUAAUUUAUCAGAGGUCAUAUAUAAUACAAGGCAAACUGUGAAAUGUUUUCUUUUUUUUUUGUUUGUUUUUAUUUUCCUUUUUAGAAUAAUGACAAAGAAAUGGAUAUUGUGUGGCAACUACAUGUAGCAAACAUUUGGCCUCG